GAUGAACGCUAGCGACAGGCCUAAUACAUGCAAGUCGAACGGUGUCUUCGGACAUAGUGGCGCACGGGUGCGUAACACGUAUGCAACCUACCUUACAUUGGGGGAUAGCCUUUCGAACGGGAGAUUAAUACCGCAUAAGACAGUAGCUGGGCAUCCAGCAGCUGUUAAAGAUUUAUCGAUGUAAGCUGGGCAUGCGUCCAAUUAGCUAGUUGGUGAGGUAACGGCUCACCAAGGCAAUGAUUGGUAGGGGAACUGAGAGGUCAAUCCCCCACACUGGCACUGAGAUACGGGCCAGACUCCUACGGGAGGCAGCAGUAGGGAAUAUUGGGCAAUGGACGCAAGUCUGACCCAGCCAUGCCGCGUGCAGGAUGAAGGCGCUAUGCGUUGUAAACUGCUUUUAUACAGGAAGAAACGACUCUUGCGAGAGGCAUUGACGGUACUGUAUGAAUAAGCACCGGCUAACUCCGUGCCAGCAGCCGCCGUAAGAC
rnacentral:rRNA from 1 species